rnacentral:rRNA from 1 species
UGGGGAAUAUUGGACAAUGGGGGAACCGUGCAUCCAGCCAUGCCGCGUGUGUGAAGAAGGCCUUAUGGUUGUAAAGCACUUUAAGCGAGGAGGAGGCUCUUUUGGUUAAUACCCAAGAUGAGUGGACGUUACUCGCAGAAUAAGCACCGGCUAACUCUGUGCCAGCAGCCGCGGUAAUACAGAGGGUGCGAGCGUUAAUCGGAUUUACUGGGCGUAAAGCGUGCGUAGGCGGCUUUUUAAGUCGGAUGUGAAAUCCCCGAG